UACGUAGGGGGCUAGCGUUGUCCGGAUUUAUUGGGCGUAAAGAGCGUGUAGGCGGCCAGGUAGGUCUGCUGUGAAAACUCGAGGCUUAACCUCGAGAUGUCGGCGGAAACCAUCUGGCUAGAGUCCGGAAGAGGAGAGUGGAAUUCCUGGUGUAGCGGUGAAAUGCGCAGAUAUCAGGAAGAACACCCGUGGCGAAAGCGGCUCUCUGGGACGGUACUGACGCUGAGACGCGAAAGCGUGGGGAGCAAACAGG
rnacentral:rRNA from 1 species